rnacentral:rRNA from 1 species
AUUGAACGCUGGCGGCAGGCCUAACACAUGCAAGUCGAGCGGAUGAAGGGAGCUUGCUCCUGGAUUCAGCGGCGGACGGGUGAGUAAUGCCUAGGAAUCUGCCUGGUAGUGGGGGAUAACGUCCGGAAACGGGCGCUAAUACCGCAUACGUCCUGAGGGAGAAAGUGGGGGAUCUUCGGACCUCACGCUAUCAGAUGAGCCUAGGUCGGAUUAGCUAGUUGGUGGGGUAAAGGCCUACCAAGGCGACGAUCCGUAACUGGUCUGAGAGGAUGAUCAGUCACACUGGAACUGAGACACGGUCCAGACUCCUACGGGAGGCAGCAGUGGGGAAUAUUGGACGAGGGGGGAAAGCCUGAUCCAGCAAUGCCGGGUGUGUGAAGAAGGUCUUCGGAUGGGAAAGCACUUUAAGUUGGGAGGAAGGGAAGUAAGUUAAUACCUUGCUGUUUUGACGGUACCAACAGAAGAAGCACCGGCUAACUUCGUG